rnacentral:rRNA from 1 species
GAGUUUGAUCCUGGCUCAGGAUGAACGCUGGCGGCGUGCUUAACACAUGCAAGUCGAGCGGAGGUUUAAAGCGGAAGUUUUCGGAUGGAAGCAAUAAACCUUAGCGGCGGACGGGUGAGUAACGCGUGGGUAACCUGCCUCAUACAGGGGGAUAACAGUUAGAAAUGACUGCUAAAACCGCAUAAGCGCACAUUGUCGAGUGACAGAGUGUGAAAAACUCCGGUGGUAUGAGAUGGACCCGCGUCUGAUUAGCUAGUUGGUGAGGUAACGGCCCACCAAGGCGACGAUCAGUAGCCGGCCUGAGAGGGCGACCGGCCACAUUGGGACUGAGACACGGCCCAAACUCCUACGGGAGGCAGCAGUGGGGAAUAUUGCACAAUGGGGGAAACCCUGAUGCAGCGACGCCGCGUGAGUGAAGAAGUAUUUCGGUAUGUAAAGCUCUAUCAGCAGGGAAGAAGAAAGACGGUACCUGACUAAGAAGCCCCGGCUAACUACGUGCCAGCAGC